GUCAAAAGUUUUUGACAUAACACUUCUUUUAGUAAAUCUCGUUAUGGUUAAGGUUCAUGUGUCAUGACCGUGUCAUGUGUUCGUGACAUUGACAUGUCACUCUUAUGUAGAUACCUUCAAGUAGAGUGUAACCCAAGCUGCUAGAAAUGACCUAAUUGGGUACUUUUGCUUUACCCACGCCAUGUCCGACAGACAGCCUGCAUAAUGUAUACCCUGUUUGUUUAACCUGUACAAAAAAUAAAGUGUAAAAAAAGGAUUAUGUUCCAGACUAUAUCUGGCACAGUGACUUCCUUGAGGCUUACCACGAGGUUGCCAGGCAUCCCGCAAAAUCCUCCAAGAAGUUCACUGCUUAAUCCUUCCAGCCGACGUUGGGCAAGAAAGGAAAUAAGCGUAGUUCCUAAACUGUCACACUAUUCCUUUAAGCCAACAUUCCCGAGACAUCCUCAAAGUGCUGAUUAUCAGACGUAAGGAUAAAGAGGACACAGAAGACAAGCAGAUAUAGUUAAAUACUGUCGGCUUGACUAUUAAAUAUGAACAAACUGAACAUUUGAGGGACUGCAUCUAAUGCUUUAGUCUUUGUGUCCACUUGAAAGACUUUCUCAUGUAGC